GGUUAAGCGACUAAGCGUACACGGUGGAUGCCCUGGCAGUCAGAGGCGAUGAAGGACGUGCUAAUCUGCGAUAAGCGUCGGUAAGGUGAUAUGAACCGUUAUAACCGGCGAUUUCCGAAUGGGGAAACCCAGUGUGAUUCGUCACACUAUCAUUAACUGAAUCCAUAGGUUAAUGAGGCGAACCGGGGGAACUGAAACAUCUAAGUACCCCGAGGAAAAGAAAUCAACCGAGAUUCCCCCAGUAGCGGCGAGCGAACGGGGAGCAGCCCAGAGCCUGAAUCAGUGUGUGUGUUAGUGGAAGCGUCUGGAAAGGCGCGCGAUACAGGGUGACAGCCCCGUACACAAAAAUGCACAUGCUGUGAGCUCGAUGAGUAGGGCGGGACACGUGGUAUCCUGUCUGAAUAUGGGGGGACCAUCCUCCAAGGCUAAAUACUCCUGACUGACCGAUAGUGAACCAGUACCGUGAGGGAAAGGCGAAAAGAACCCCGGCGAGGGGAGUGAAAAAGAACCUGAAACCGUGUACGUACAAGCAGUGGGAGCACAGAGCAAUCUGUGUGACUGCGUACCUUUUGUAUAAUGGGUCAGCGACUUAUAUUCUGUAGCAAGGUUAACCGAAUAGGGGAGCCGAAGGGAAACCGAGUCUUAACUGGGCGUUAAGUUGCAGGGUAUAGACCCGAAACCCGGUGAUCUAGCCAUGGGCAGGUUGAAGGUUGGGUAACACUAACUGGAGGACCGAACCGACUAAUGUUGAAAAAUUAGCGGAUGACUUGUGGCUGGGGGUGAAAGGCCAAUCAAACCGGGAGAUAGCUGGUUCUCCCCGAAAGCUAUUUAGGUAGCGCCUCGUGAAUUCAUCUCCGGGGGUAGAGCACUGUUUCGGCAAGGGGGUCAUCCCGACUUACCAACCCGAUGCAAACUGCGAAUACCGGAGAAUGUUAUCACGGGAGACACACGGCGGGUGCUAACGUCCGUCGUGAAGAGGGAAACAACCCAGACCGCCAGCUAAGGUCCCAAAGUCAUGGUUAAGUGGGAAACGAUGUGGGAAGGCCCAGACAGCCAGGAUGUUGGCUUAGAAGCAGCCAUCAUUUAAAGAAAGCGUAAUAGCUCACUGGUCGAGUCGGCCUGCGCGGAAGAUGUAACGGGGCUAAACCAUGCACCGAAGCUGCGGCAGCGACGCUUAUGCGUUGUUGGGUAGGGGAGCGUUCUGUAAGCCUGCGAAGGUGUGCUGUGAGGCAUGCUGGAGGUAUCAGAAGUGCGAAUGCUGACAUAAGUAACGAUAAAGCGGGUGAAAAGCCCGCUCGCCGGAAGACCAAGGGUUCCUGUCCAACGUUAAUCGGGGCAGGGUGAGUCGACCCCUAAGGCGAGGCCGAAAGGCGUAGUCGAUGGGAAACAGGUUAAUAUUCCUGUACUUGGUGUUACUGCGAAGGGGGGACGGAGAAGGCUAUGUUGGCCGGGCGACGGUUGUCCCGGUUUAAGCGUGUAGGCUGGUUUUCCAGGCAAAUCCGGAAAAUCAAGGCUGAGGCGUGAUGACGAGGCACUACGGUGCUGAAGCAACAAAUGCCCUGCUUCCAGGAAAAGCCUCUAAGCAUCAGGUAACAUCAAAUCGUACCCCAAACCGACACAGGUGGUCAGGUAGAGAAUACCAAGGCGCUUGAGAGAACUCGGGUGAAGGAACUAGGCAAAAUGGUGCCGUAACUUCGGGAGAAGGCACGCUGAUAUGUAGGUGAAGCGACUUGCUCGUGGAGCUGAAAUCAGUCGAAGAUACCAGCUGGCUGCAACUGUUUAUUAAAAACACAGCACUGUGCAAACACGAAAGUGGACGUAUACGGUGUGACGCCUGCCCGGUGCCGGAAGGUUAAUUGAUGGGGUUAGCGCAAGCGAAGCUCUUGAUCGAAGCCCCGGUAAACGGCGGCCGUAACUAUAACGGUCCUAAGGUAGCGAAAUUCCUUGUCGGGUAAGUUCCGACCUGCACGAAUGGCGUAAUGAUGGCCAGGCUGUCUCCACCCGAGACUCAGUGAAAUUGAACUCGCUGUGAAGAUGCAGUGUACCCGCGGCAAGACGGAAAGACCCCGUGAACCUUUACUAUAGCUUGACACUGAACAUUGAGCCUUGAUGUGUAGGAUAGGUGGGAGGCUUUGAAGUGUGGACGCCAGUCUGCAUGGAGCCGACCUUGAAAUACCACCCUUUAAUGUUUGAUGUUCUAACGUUGACCCGUAAUCCGGGUUGCGGACAGUGUCUGGUGGGUAGUUUGACUGGGGCGGUCUCCUCCUAAAGAGUAACGGAGGAGCACGAAGGUUGGCUAAUCCUGGUCGGACAUCAGGAGGUUAGUGCAAUGGCAUAAGCCAGCUUGACUGCGAGCGUGACGGCGCGAGCAGGUGCGAAAGCAGGUCAUAGUGAUCCGGUGGUUCUGAAUGGAAGGGCCAUCGCUCAACGGAUAAAAGGUACUCCGGGGAUAACAGGCUGAUACCGCCCAAGAGUUCAUAUCGACGGCGGUGUUUGGCACCUCGAUGUCGGCUCAUCACAUCCUGGGGCUGAAGUAGGUCCCAAGGGUAUGGCUGUUCGCCAUUUAAAGUGGUACGCGAGCUGGGUUUAGAACGUCGUGAGACAGUUCGGUCCCUAUCUGCCGUGGGCGCUGGAGAACUGAGGGGGGCUGCUCCUAGUACGAGAGGACCGGAGUGGACGCAUCACUGGUGUUCGGGUUGUCAUGCCAAUGGCACUGCCCGGUAGCUAAAUGCGGAAGAGAUAAGUGCUGAAAGCAUCUAAGCACGAAACUUGCCCCGAGAUGAGUUCUCCCUGACUCCUUGAGAGUCCUGAAGGAACGUUGAAGACGACGACGUUGAUAGGCCGGGUGUGUAAGCGCAGCGAUGCGUUGAGCUAACCGGUACUAAUGAACCGUGAGGCUUAACCUU
rnacentral:rRNA from 1 species